rnacentral:lncRNA from 1 species
UUUGGAUCCAGUCCUUCUUUUAAUCACCUAAGGUCAUUUGGCUGUUUAUGUUAUGCUGCAACCCUAUCCUAUCAUCGAACUAAAUUUGAUCCUAGGGUUAUGAAGUGUAUUUUUUUGGAAUAUCCCUUUGGGAAGAAGGGGUAUAAGCUUUUAGACCUUUCUACCAAGAAAAUAUUUGUUUCUAGAGAUGUUAUAUUUUAUGAAGAUCACUUUCCUUUUUCAACAAAUCCUUCUAUUCAUGAAGUCUUUCCAGUUUUACCUUCACCAGUUGAUCCAGACACUCUUUCCCCUGAAUUCCCUCCCCCAUCUCCCCAUUUUAUCACUUCAUCUCUUGAAUCACUGUCUUCAGCUCCUCAGUCACCAUCUCCAGUUCUUUCUCCUGGUUUGGAUUCCAAUCAAUCUAGUUCUUUCCUUCUCCUGCUAGGUCUGCACCUUCUACUCCUGUCGGAUCUACUCCUCUUCUUUCACGAUCUGUGCAUCCUACUCCUCAAGCACCUUCUUAGCCUGCACUAAGACAAUCUCUUAGAACACAUAAAACACCUUCAUAUCUGGCAGAUUAUGUGUGUAACUCUGUUUAUUUGACUGAUCUAACAUCUACUUGUUUUGCAGCUAGCAUUCAACCUAAUGUUCUUCCUUUUUCAGCCCUUUCUUCAACCAAUCAAACUUUCCUAAAUUCUAUUUCCCACAUAUUAGAACCAACCAUUUUUACACAAGCAAUGUUACAAUCUGGUUGGCAAGUAGCAAUGGCUUAUGAAUUUGCUGCUUUGGAGGCUAAUAAAACUUGGAAAGUAGUGGAACUACCUAAAGUAAUGAAAGCUUUGUCUAGUAAAUGGGUCUACAAAGUGAAACAUAGAUCAGAUGGAAGUGUGGAAAGGCUCAAAGCUCGAUUAGCUAUAAGAGGAGACACACAAAGAAAAGGGAUAGACUACAAUGAGCCCUUUUCUCCCGUAGUUAAAAUGACUACAGUUGAUGCCUUAUGGCAAUUGCAGUUAAGAAAUGGUGGUCUUUAUUUCAAUUAGAUGUUAAUAAUAUUUUUCUUCAUGGUGAUUUGCAGGAAAGAGUUUAUAUAAAAAUUCCUGCAGGUAUGACUGUGCUUGGGCCUAACCUUGUUUGCAGGUUAAAGAAAUCACUCUAUGGGCUGAAGCAAGCAUCUAGGCAAUGGUAUGCUAGGCUUACUGCAGCCCUCAACUUUAAAGGAUACACACACUCGCUCAAUGAUUAUUUACUAUUUUUAAAAAAUACAGAUUCUGGUGUCUCUAUUGUUGCAGUUUAUGUCGAUGACAUUCUACUUACAUGUGAUGACCCUACUAAAUUACAACUUCUAAAAAAUUUUCUUGACUCAGAAUUUAAGAUUAAAGACCUUGGUGAGACAUAUUUUUUUCUUGGUAUGGAAAUUAUGAGAGAGCAACAAGGGUUAACAUUGAGUCAAAGGAAGUUUACCCUUGAACUUCUUGCUGAAUUUGAUUGUCUUAAUUCCUUGACUACUUCCUCUCCUUUGGACCCUUAUUGCAAGUUGAAGGCAGAUUCCGACGAUCUAUUGUCUGACCCCACAGUUUAUAGAUGUCUGAUUGGUAAACUAAAUUUUUUAACACAUACGCGGCCGGAUAUCUCUUUUGCAGUUCAGAGACUCAGCCAGUUCAUGCAAACCCCUCGUCAAUCUCAUUUUGAUGCUGCCGUGCACUGUCUCCGCUAUCUCUUGGGCAAUCCGGGUCUUGGUUUAUAUUUUAACUCCACUUCUUCCUUCCAGCUCCUCGCUUUUUGCGACUCCGAUUGGGGAUCUUGUCCGGACACUUGUCGUUCAGUCAAUGGGUAUUUUAUUAGUCUUGGUGGCUCACCGGUUUCAUGGAAAUCCAAAAAGAAACCCCUCAUCUCUCUCUCAUCGGCUGAAGUAGAAUAUCGCUUCAUGAGUCGGGUAGUCUCAGAAAUCACUUGGCUUGUUUGUCUUCUUCAGGAUCUGUCUGUAUCACUAUUUUUGAUGGUCACCGUUCACUCCGAGAGCCAAGCAGCUAUUCAUAUCGCCAAAAAUCCUGUCUUCCACGAACGCACAAAACAUGUCGAACUGGAUUGUCAUUUUGUGCGGCAACAGUUCUUGGCCGGCUUAAUCUCUCUCAUGUUUGUUCCCUCGCCUUCUAAACUAGUCGACGUUUUCACAAAGGCACUCCCAGGAUCUCUUCAUCACUCCUUUCUUUGCAAGUUGGGCGUGUGUUACCACCCUUCCAACUUGAGGGGGAGGGGGGUGUUGCCACCAUAAAUUAUGUUCGAUCCAUGAACCCUAAUUUUGGAUUGAGCUCGGACAAGAAAAAGGGGAAAGAG